UACGUAGGGGGCAAGCGUUGUCCGGAAUCAUUGAGCGUAAAGCGCGCGUAGGCGGCCCUGUAAGUCCGUUGUGAAAGUCAAAGGCUCAACCUUUGAAAGCCGAUGGAUACUGCAGGGCUAGAGUCCGGAAGAGGCGAGUGGAAUUCCUGGUGUAGCGGUGGAAUGCGCAGAUAUCAGGAGGAACACCAAUAGCGAAGGCAGCUCGCUGGGACGGUACUGACGCUAAGGCGCGAAAGCGUGGGGAGCGAACAGG
rnacentral:rRNA from 1 species